rnacentral:rRNA from 1 species
GGAUUGACACAUCGGUCGUGUCUUAAGGGGCAUGUACUAGCGUAGCCAAUUCCUCACCUUCUGGUGAAUUGGAAUGCCUCUUUAACUGGGUGUUUCAAUGAACUAGGACUUUUACUUUGAAAAAAUUAGAGUGUUUAAAGCAGGCAUUAUUUGCUUGAAUACAUUAGCAUGGAAUAAUAAAAUAGGACGAUGAUUCUAUUUUGUUGGUUUCUAGGAUCACCGUA